rnacentral:piRNA from 1 species
UGCAAUAAAGAGACCAUGGUGGGGAU